AUCCUGACUAGCACUUGAC
rnacentral:misc_RNA from 1 species